rnacentral:rRNA from 1 species
UACGUAGGGGGCUAGCGUUGUCCGGAAUCAUUGGGCGUAAAGCGCGUGUAGGCGGUUCGGUAAGUCCGCUGUGAAAGUCGGGGCUCAACCCUCGAAUGCCGGUGGAUACUGUCGGACUAGAGUACGGAAGAGGCGAGUGGAAUUCCUGGUGUAGCGGUGAAAUGCGCAGAUAUCAGGAGGAACACCGAUUGCGAAGGCAGCUCGCUGGGACGUUACUGACGCUGAGACGCGAAAGCGUGGGGAGCAAACAGG